GGACAAUAAUAGACGAUCCCUCCCUCAGCCGAGAAGCGACUUCGUCAAGACUAUGACAGCUACGAAUGGAGAAUGCAGAUCCGAUGACGACAGCGACGUUGACGUCAUCAUCGUCGGCGCCGGUGUUGCUGGCGCCGCUCUCGCUCAUACCCUCGGCAAGGAUGGGCGUCGAGUGCAUGUCAUUGAAAGAGACUUGACUGAACCUGACAGAAUUGUUGGUGAAUUGCUACAGCCGGGGGGCUACCUAAAGUUAAUUGAGUUAGGACUUGAAGAUUGUGUGGAGGAAAUUGAUGCACAGCGAGUGUUUGGUUAUGCUCUUUUCAAGGAUGGAAAACAUACACAACUUGCUUAUCCCCUGGAAAAGUUUCACUCAGAAGUAGCAGGGAGGAGCUUUCACAAUGGGCGUUUUAUUCAGAGGAUGCGG
rnacentral:misc_RNA from 1 species